rnacentral:rRNA from 1 species
GACGAGCCACACGAACGUUAUUCGGAAUUACUGGGCUUAAAGGGUGCGUAGGCGGCGUGGAAAGUUGGGUGUGAAAUCCCUCGGCUUAACCGAGGAACUGCGCCCAAAACUACCAUGCUCGAGGAAGAUAGAGGUAAGCGGAACUUACGGUGGAGCGGUGAAAUGCGUUGAUAUCGUAAGGAACACCCGUGGCGAAAGCGGCUUACUGGGUCUUUUCUGACGCUGAUGCACGAAAGCUAGGGGAGCAAACGGG